rnacentral:rRNA from 1 species
AUUGAACGCUGGCGGCAGGCCUAACACAUGCAAGUCGAGCGGAUGAAGGGAGCUUGCUCCUGGAUUCAGCGGCGGACGGGUGAGUAAUGCCUAGGAAUCUGCCUGGUAGUGGGGGAUAACGUCCGGAAACGGGCGCUAAUACCGCAUACGUCCUGAGUGAGAAAGUGGGGGAUCUUCGGACCUCACGCUAUCAGAUGUGCCUAGGUCGGAUUAGCUAGUUGGUGGGAUAAAGGCCUACCAAGGCGACGAUCCGUAACUGGUCUGAGAGGAUGAUCAGUCACACUGGAACUGAGACACGGUCCAGACUCCUACGGGAGGCAGCAGUGGGGAAUAUUGGACAAUGGGCGAAAGCCUGAUCCAGCCAUGCCGCGUGUGUGAAGAAGGUCUUCGGAUUGUAAAGCACUUUAAGUUGGGAGGAAGGGCAGUAAGUUAAUACCUUGCUGUUUUGACGUUACCAACAGAAUAAGCACCGGCUAACUUCGUG